rnacentral:rRNA from 1 species
AUUGAACGCUGGCGGCAGGCCUAACACAUGCAAGUCGAACGAGUGGCGGACGGGUGAGUAAUGUCUGGGAAACUGCCCGAUGGAGGGGGAUAACUACUGGAAACGGUAGCUAAUACCGCAUACCAUCGGAUGUGCCCAGAUGGGAUUAGCUAGUAGGUGGGGAAACGGCUCACCUAGGCGACGAUCCAUAGCUGGUCUGAGAGGAUUACCACCCACACUGGGACUGAGACACGGUCCAGACUCCUUCGGGAGGCAGCAGUGGGGAAUAUUGCACGAGUGGCGCAAGCCUGAUGCAGCCAUGCCGCUUGUAUGAAGAAGGCCUUCGGGUUGUAAAGUACUUUCAGCGUGGAGGCGUUACUCGCAGAAGAAGCCCCGGCUAACUCCGUGCCAGCCGCCGCGGUAAUAC